rnacentral:ncRNA from 1 species
GUUAAAGGACACUUGUUUUUUGAGUGUCCUUUUUAAUUGAAAGAAAAUUAAACAUUUUUCCUCGGUAGCUCAGUUGGUAGAGCGGCUCGCUGUGAGCUUAUCGCAGCUUCCGGAUGUAAAUCCGGUUGAAAAACGGGGUGAAUUGCGGGGAGCCUAAAGCCGAAAGGCCACGGUAAUCCGCAGCCAAGUUCUCCGAAGCUUUAGCGAAGGAGAAAAGGUUCAGAGACUAUCCCGAAAGGGAGUACCCGCCGCGCUUUUUGGCGGGGAAGCGCCCCGGGUCCAGAGAUGACUGGAUCAUGAUAUAGUCCACUCCACUGCGAAAACAG